CAGAAUGUCUCAAAGAAGAUGUCUUGUGGGGAUCACCUUGGUUUGAAAUCAUACUGUAUGGAUGAUCAGAUGCCCCAAUGAUCUAGUGGCUGAUAUGAAGGCAUCAAGAAGCAUUAGCUCUAGAAUGAGCAAGAGUGUUGCCAGAUAAGCUUGGUGACUCAGCCAGGGAAUUGAAGACAAAAUGUGGAGAGAGUUUGUUCUCCUUUUGUAUUUUUGAUUUGAUGAAACCUGGACCAUUGAUUGUUUGUUACGCAUGUUAGGGUUUCAUAAUUCACCACCUGUAAUGUAAAUAGCACAUGACAUAUGGGAAUUGUUAUUGUUUUUGUUAUACAUUUAAAGGCACUAAAAGAUACAAUUUUUAGGGGGAGAGUUUGUUACAGGGAUUGGUUACAACUGCCAGGUUGACAAUCCAUGUGACAAAGUGAUCUGGACCCUUGAUCUGAUUCUGCUUUUCAACAAA
rnacentral:lncRNA from 1 species